rnacentral:rRNA from 1 species
UACGGAGGGUGCAAGCGUUAUCCGGAUUCACUGGGUUUAAAGGGUGCGUAGGAGGGCAGGUAAGUCAGUGGUGAAAUCUCCAAGCUUAACUUGGAAACUGCCGUUGAUACUAUCUGUCUUGAAUACCGUGGAGGUGAGCGGAAUAUGUCAUGUAGCGGUGAAAUGCUUAGAUAUGACAUAGAACACCAAUUGCGAAGGCGGCCCGCUACACGAAUAUUGACUCUGAGGCACGAAAGCGUGGGGAUCAAACAGG